GUUCACUCCACUGCCUCUAUCCAUUGAGUACUGUAUCGAUAUUGUUUUUUAAGAUUAAUAUAUUUCAGGUAUUUAAUACGAAAUGUGGAAGGGAAUGCUGGAGUAAAAUAUCCCCUCUCCCCUCCGCCCGCCCACCCGCCCGCCCGCUCGCCCGCUCGCCCGCUCCUGUGGUUUUUCUGAGCGUGCGGGCGCCGGGAGGGGAUGCUGAGGCUGAUGGAGCUGCCUCCAGGGCUAGGGCCACUCACCGGAGGAGGGCGGGGCCUGCACUUGAAGUCAGGCCGCACCUGUCUGUUUUUGGAAGGGUAGCCGACAAAUCCUUCCAGAGGGAAAGUUCUUUGUUUAAGUGUUGUACUUGAAAAGGUCAAUCUUCAGGGCUUCCUGUUUGAAGUCAAGUCAGAGGUAAACCGGUCAGUUACAGAAGCAGGAUUUCUAGGAUUUCUAACUCCAGCUGUUCCCAUACUGUCUAGUUUAAAUUAUGGCUGUUAAGGCCGGGCGGGUGACUCAGGCAGGUAAUCCCAGAACUUUGGGAGGCCCAGACAGAAGGAUCGCUUGAGGUCAGGAAUUUGAGACCUGGCCAACAUGGUGAAACCCUGUCUCUACUAAAAAAAAAAAAAAAAAAAAAAAAAAAAAAAAAAAAAUGAGUCGGGUGUGGUGGUGUGCACCUGUAGUCCCAGCUACUCAGGAGUUCUGAGAUGGAAAGAUUGCUUGAACCCAGGAGGCAGAGGCUGCAGUGAGCUGAGAUCGCGACAUUGCACUCUAGCCUGGGUGACAGAGUGAGAUUCCAUCUCAAAAUAAAUAAAUAAAUAUUAAUACAUUAUGGCUAUUAAGGCUGGGCACGGUGGCUCAUGCCUGCAAUCCUGGCACUUUGGGAGGCUGAGGGGGGAAGAUCACUUGAGCCCAGGAGUUCAAGACCAGCUUGGGCAACAUAGCAAGGACCUCAUCUCUACAAAAAAUAAAAAGGACGUGGUGGUGCACAUCUGUAAACCCAGCUACUCAGGAGGCUGAGGAGGGAGGAUCACUUGAGCCCAGGAGUUCAAGAUCAGUUUGGACCACAUAGCGAGACCCUGUGUCUACAAAAAAUAAGAAAAUCAGCCGGACAUGAUGGUGCACACCUGUAAUCCCAGCUACUCGGGAGGCUGAGGCAGGAGGAUCGCUGGAGCCCAGGAGUUCAAGGCUGCAGUGACCUAUGAUCGUGCCACUGCACUCCAGCCUGGGCAGCAAAAGGGUGUAGGAGUUGUGUUCCAAGUUUGUUCCUGCAAACCCUCCGAUGAGGCCAGCUGCAUUCAUCGGGGCCUGGAUGGCCGCACCUCUCUCUCCCCGCCCUGUCUCCUGCACUCAGUAGAGACGGAGUUUCACCAUGUUAGCCAGGAUGCUCUGGAUCUCCUGACCUCGUGAUCCACCCACCUCGGCCUCCCAAACUGCUGGGAUUACAGGCAUGAGACACCACGCCCCGCCGAGUCCCUGCUUUUAAUUCUUUGGGGCAGGGAUCCCCAACCCCCUGGUGAUGGACCAAUACUGGCCUGCGGCCCCUUAGGAACUGGACUGCACAGCAGGAGGUGAGCGGCAGAUGGCAUGGGAAAGUAGCACACAGUCGGGACUCUGCAGCCGAGUUUGCCUCCUUGAAUGCACACAUAACACAGGAACAAAGACAGAGCUGCUUCCCUCCUGUUGGGUCUCUGGCGGACAGUCAGGUAUGCUGAGGGAGACACUGUUCUCAAACUCCAGGCCAGGGUGGUUUCCGGAGGGUCCACCGGUGGUCUCAUCUCUUCUCUCUCAAACCAUGGAUGGUGCCUUUUAAAGAAAAUGACACCGGCCAGGUGCGGUGGCUCAUGGCUGUAAUCCCAGCACUUUGGGAGGCCGAGGCGGGUGGAUCACCUGAGGUCGGAAGUUCAACACCAGCCUGGCCAACAUGGUGAAACCCCGUCUCUAUUAAAAAUACAAAAAUUAGGCCGGGCGCGGUGGCUCACGCCUGUAAUCCCAGCACUUUGGGAGGCCGAGGCGGGCGGAU
rnacentral:lncRNA from 1 species